rnacentral:rRNA from 1 species
UACAGGGGGGGGCAAGCGUUGUUCGGAAUUACUGGGCGUAAAGGGCGCGUAGGCGGCCUUCUAAGUCGAACGUGAAAUCCCCGGGCUCAACCCGGGAACUGCGUCCGAGACUGGAAGGCUCGAAUCCGGGAGAGGGAUGUGGAAUUCCAGGUGUAGCGGUGAAAUGCGUAGAUAUCUGGAGGAACAUCGGUGGCGAAGGCGGCAUCCUGGACCGGUAUUGACGCUGAGGCGCGAAAGCCAGGGGAGCAAACGGG